rnacentral:rRNA from 1 species
UACGGAGGGGGGCUAGCGUUGUUCGGAAUUACUGGGCGUAAAGCGCACGUAGGCGGCUUUGUAAGUUAGAGGUGAAAGCCUGGAGCUCAACUCCAGAAUUGCCUUUAAGACUGCAUCGCUUGAAUCGCGGAGAGGUGAGUGGAAUUCCGAGUGUAGAGGUGAAAUUCGUAGAUAUUCGGAAGAACACCAGUGGCGAAGGCGGCUCACUGGACGCGUAUUGACGCUGAGGUGCGAAAGCGUGGGGAGCAAACAGG